UAACUUUAUUGAUAUCAGAGGGAACUUCACAGAUUACAGCAGCAAGCACAAAAUAUUCAAGAAGUAAUAAACA